rnacentral:rRNA from 1 species
UACGUAGGGUGCAAGCGUUGUCCGGAAUUAUUGGGCGUAAAGAGCUCGUAGGCGGCUUGUUGCGUCGGCUGUGAAAUCCCGAGGCUCAACCUCGGGUCUGCAGUCGAUACGAGCAAACUAGAGUGUUGCAGGGGAGACUGGAAUUCCUGGUGUAGCGGUGAAAUGCGCAGAUAUCAGGAAGAACACCCGUGGCGAAGGCGGCUCUCUGGAACGCAACUGACGCUGAGACGCGAAAGCGUGGGGAGCAAACAGG